GACGUGACUUCAGAGUUUGAUCCUGGCUCAGGAUGAACGCUGGCGGCGUGCUUAACACAUGCAAGUCGAACGAAGCACUUAUUAUUGAGACCUCGGGUGGAUUUAAUUUGUGACUGAGUGGCGGACGGGUGAGUAACGCGUGGGUAACCUGCCUUGUACAGGGGGAUAACAGUUAGAAAUGACUGCUAAUACCGCAUAAGCGCACAGUACCGCAUGGUACGGUGUGAAAAACUCCGGUGGUACAAGAUGGACCCGCGUCUGAUUAGCUAGUUGGUGGGGUAACGGCCUACCAAGGCGACGAUCAGUAGCCGACUUGAGAGAGUGAUCGGCCACAUUGGGACUGAGACACGGCCCAA
rnacentral:rRNA from 1 species